rnacentral:rRNA from 1 species
CCUACGGGAGGCAGCAGUGGGGAAUAUUGGGCAAUGGAGGAAACUCUGACCCAGCGACGCCGCGUGCGGGAUGAAGGCCUUCGGGUUGUAAACCGCUUUCAGCAGGGAAGAAGCGAAAGUGACGGUACCUGCAGAAGAAGCACCGGCUAACUAUGUGCCAGCAGCCGCGGUAAUACAUAGGGUGCAAGCGUUGUCCGGAAUUAUUGGGCGUAAAGAGCUCGUAGGUGGUUCGUCACGUCGGAUGUGAAAAUCUGGGGCUUAACCCCAGACCUGCAUUCGAUACGGGCGAGCUUGAGUAUGGUAGGGGAGUCUGGAAUUCCUGGUGUAGCGGUGGAAUGCGCAGAUAUCAGGAGGAACACCAAUGGCGAAGGCAGGACUCUGGGCCAUUACUGACACUGAGGAGCGAAAGCGUGGGGAGCGAACGGGAUUAGAUACCCUGGUAGUCCACGCCGUAAACGGUGGGCACUAGUUGUGGGGACCUUCCACGGUCUCUGCGACGCAGCUAACGCAUUAAGUGCCCCGCCUGGGGAGUACGAUCGCAAGAUUAAAACUCAAAGGAAUGACGGCUGAGACGNGCGAGACGACGACGAGGGAGAG